GGGACAUCACUUCCUCAGCAGAGACCCUGGAUUCCAGAAGUCUUGGGAGCCACCGCUGGAACUCUGGACGUGCUCUCAAGUUGGCCAGGCCCUGCGUGGCAUGACAGCGAACCCAGUCUCCUCCCGGGCCACUUCCUCCCUGGGCUCCUUCCUCCGUGCUCCUCCUAGAAGUCCUCCCUGACCUGCAGAACUGGGAAGCCCUCUGUGCUCUUCCAUACCUGGGAGGAUCCUCCCCCGUGGACAUCUGUGCCCGUGUCCAUCCCCCCAUGGCACGCUGUGAGAUGGGGCCUCGCCCAGGGUAGGUGCUCGGUAACUACUCGCAGAGAGGGACCUGCUCUGCUCCGGGAAGGCUGGACAGAGGAGGCCACGAGGAAAGCAGCCACCACAGGAAGGAAGUAAUCCAGGUCACCAGGUUGGGAGGAGACAGAACCUACAAACGCUCCGCCACCGCCACCGUGCAGAAGGGGCUGGUGCUAUUUA
rnacentral:lncRNA from 1 species